UACAGGGGGGGGCAAGCGUUGUUCGGAAUUACUGGGCGUAAAGGGCGCGUAGGCGGCCAACUAAGUCAGACGUGAAAUCCCUCGGCUUAACCGGGGAACUGCGUCUGAUACUGGAUGGCUCGAGAUUGGGAGAGGGAUGCGGAAUUCCAGGUGUAGCGGUGAAAUGCGUAGAUAUCAGGAGGAAUACCGGUGGCGAAAGCGACUCUCUGGACGGUAACUGACGCUGAGGCACGAAAGCGUGGGGAGCAAACAGG
rnacentral:rRNA from 1 species